rnacentral:rRNA from 1 species
GACGAACGCUGGCGGCGUGCUUUACACAUGCAAGUCGAACGGUGAAGGUGGAGCUUGCUCCGCCGGAUCAGUGGCGAACGGGUGAGUAACACGUGGGCAACCUGCCCCUAACUUUGGGAUAACUACUCGAAAGAGUAGCUAAUACCGGAUAUGCAGUCUGUAGGCAUCUAUGGAUUUGGAAAGUUUUUCGGUUAGGGAUGGGCCCGCGGCCUAUCAGCUUGUUGGUGGGGUAGUGGCUCACCAAGGCGACGACGGGUAGCCGGCCUGAGAGGGCGACCGGCCACACUGGGACUGAGACACGGCCCAGACUCCUACGGGAGGCAGCAGUGGGGAAUAUUGCGCAAUGGGCGAAAGCCUGACGCAGCAACGCCGCGUGCGGGAUGAAGGCCUUCGGGUUGUAAACCGCUUUCAGCAGGGAAGAAGCGAAAGUGACGGUACCUGCAGAAGAAGCACCGGCUAACUACGUGCCAGCAGCCGCGGUAA